GACGAACGCUGGCGGCGUGCUUAACACAUGCAAGUCGAACGGAAAGGCCCUGCUUUUGUGGGGUGCUCGGGUGGCGAACGGGUGAGUAACACGUGAGUAACCUGCCCUUGACUUUGGGAUAACUUCAGGAAACUGGGGCUAAUCCCGGAUAGGAGCUCCUGCUGCAUGGUGGGGGUUGGAAAGUUUCGGCGGUUGGGGAUGGACUCGCGGCUUAUCAGCUUGUUGGUGGGGUAGUGGCUUACCAAGGCUUUGACGGGUAGCCGGCCUGAGAGGGUGACCGGCCACAUUGGGACUGAGAUACGGCCCAGACUCCUACGGGAGGCAGCAGUGGGGAAUAUUGCACAAUGGGCGGAAGCCUGAUGCAGCAACGCCGCGUGCGGGAUGACGGCCUUCGGGUUGUAAACCGCUUUCGCCUGUGACGAAGCGUGAGUGACGGUAAUGGGUAAAGAAGCACCGGCUAACUACGU
rnacentral:rRNA from 1 species